ACCAAAAGACAGAGAUUGCCGGCACAUAAACGCGAGAACCGCCGCUCCCACCCAGCGCCGCCGCCGCCGUCCUUCCGCCGUCCCCAGUGGGCCGCCGCCAUCAGAUCGCGCCAAGCAACAGAGAGAGAGAGAUAGCAGCGAUCGAGGCAGGGAACCCCGAUCUCGCCGCCGCUCUCCACCCGGACGAAGGACCUAGCGCCGCCGCGACGCCUCCCGCGUCCGUCACCGGCGUGGCCGGAGACCGCCGACUCUCCGCCGGAUUGACGAGAAAAUAGCGCAGCCCGUCCGCCGAUCCAACAGGCUCUUCCUUAUACAACCCACGCACCAAAGGGCUAUGUGGUGACAUCGACUCCGAUUGUUCUUCGCCACGGGAUUCUCAAAUUCAAGAUCCCCAUAAAUCACUUGUGACAUUCAAAAUCAAAAUCGCAGAAAAUUCAGGAACCAGGAAAACCACUCCGAACAACUUCUCAGUUCACCGAGGAUUGAUGGAGAACAAUCAUGCUGAUUACGUGUUGUAAAUUGUGUAAAAAUUAAGGCCAAACCAUACCUCAUCAUUUUCAUUCAUCGUAUACAAUAGUACAAUACAUUUUACAA